UUCCCAGGCUAGGGGUUGAAUCGGAGCUGUAGCCACUGGCCUACGUCAGAGCCACAGCAACUUGGGAUCCGAGCCGCAUCUGCAACCUACACCACAGCUCACGGCAACGCCGGAUCCUUAACCCACUGAGCAAGGCCAGGGACCGAACCCGCAACCUCAUGGUUCCUAGUCGGAUUCGUUAAUCACUGCGCCAUGAUGGGAACUCCUGGAUUCGUUUUUGUUGCUCUUUUUUCUUCCCUUCUUGUUCUCUCUUCUUGUGGUUUGAUGACUAUCUUUAUUAUUGUAUUUGAGUUGCUUUUUCUUAUUUGUGUGUAUCUAUUGUAGAUUCUUGGUUGACAGUUACCCUGAAGUUUUUUUUUUUUUGUUUUUGUUUUUGUUUUUUGUCUUUUUGCCUUUUCUAGGGCCGCUCCCGCGGCAUAUGGAGAUUCCCAGGCUAGGGGUCUAAUUGGAGCCAUAGCCACUGGCCUACGCCAGAGCCACAGCAACACGGGAUCCGAGCCGUGUCUGUCACCUACACCACAGCUCACUGCAACGCCAGAUCCUCAACCCACUGAGCAAGGCCAGGGAUUGAACCCACAACCUCAUGGUUCCUAGUUGGAUUCAUUAACCACUGCACCACGACGGGAACUUCCCUGAAGUUUCGGUAUAGGAGUCUAUAUAUAUAUAUACAAGAUUGUUUUAAGUUGUUGGUCUCCUAAUUGCAAGUGCACCUCCAGUGUCCUGCAUUAGUACCCUCCUCUUCUCACGAUUUCUGAUUUUGGUAGCAUAUUUGUGCAUGGAUGAUUUCCUACCUUUACUGUAUUUUUCCUUUCCUGGCACACCUUGUCAUUUGUAGUAUUUUUGUUUUUAGUUUUGCCUUUUCUCUUCUGCCUAGAGAAGUUCCUUUAGUAUUUGUUGUAACUGGUUCAGUGUUGCUGAAUUCUCUUAGCUUUUGUUUAUCUGUAAAGCUUUUGAUUUCUCCUUCAAAUCUGAAUGAAAGCCUUGUUGGGUAGAGUAAUCUUGGUUUGAGGUUUUUUUCCUUUCAUCACUUUAAGUAUAUUGUGUCACCCCCUUCUGGCCUGCAGAGUUUCUGCUGAAAAAUCUGCUGAUAACCUUAUCAAGGUUCCCUUGUAUGUUAUUUAUUUCUUUUCCCUAGUUGCUUUCAGUAUUUUCUCUUUGUCUUUAAUUUUGGUCAGUUUGAUUAAUAUGUGCUCAGGGCGUUUCUCCUUGGGUUUAUUUUAUGUGAUACUUGUGGUGCUUCCUAGAUUUGAGUGAGUGAUUCCUUUCCCAUGUUAGGGAAGUUCUGGGCCAUUAUCUCUUCAGAUAUUUUUUUCUGGCCCUUUAUCUCUCUCUUCUCAUUCUGGAACCCCUGUAAUACGGAUGUUGGUGUGUUUAACGUUGUCCUAGAUUUCUCUUAGACUGUCUUCAUUUCUUUUCAGUCUUUUUUCUCUUUUCUGUUCCAUAUCAGUAAGUUCCACUAGUCUGUCCUCCACCUCGCUUAUUCGUUCUUCUGCCUCCUGUAUUCUCCUGUUGGUUGCUUCUAAUGAAUUUUUUAUUUCUGUUACUGUAUUUUGCAUCUCUGCUUGCUUAAGCCUUAAACCUUGUUAUUUCUUUGCUCAGUGUUUGCUGUAAUUUAUCAGUCCUUGCCUCCAGUUUAUUUCCAAUGUCUUGAAUCAUCUUCACUAUCAUCAGUCUAAAGUCUUUUUCCGGGAGGCUGAUAAUCUCCAGAUCAUUUAGCUGUUUUUCUGUGAUUUUUUUUCUCACUCCUUUCUUUGAGUUAUAGUGCUUUGCUUUUUCAUUUUGUAUAGGUUUUUGUUUUUGCAGACAAUAGAGUUGUAGCUUCUCUUACUUCUGAUGUCCACCACACCCCUCUGGCUGAAGUUGUCACAGGGGCUUACUAUAGGCUUCCUGAUGGAAGUGACUGGUGCCUUCCCACUGCUGCCAACACGUAGGAGCCCUUGGUGGAGUCUCAUGGGUCAGAAAUGAUUGUCUCCACUGGGCACCAAAAGAAUGUUUAUGUCCUCACCUCUGUCAAGACUGUUCAAAUGGGCACCUUUAUCAUGUGACUCUUAAAGCCCACCUUCCUUAUCCUUCAGGGGCCCUGACGUCUAGUGCCUCGUCAGAAGUCUUACCCUGACGCUCACUCACAGGGUACUGGACCACCGUAACAGAGGUGAUCUUCAGGCUGGAGCAAGGAGAAGAGCUGUGGCUGUUAGAGAAUUCCCAGGCUGGAGGGGUCCAGACAGAAGAAAGGAAAACCAAGAUAAACAUUUGUGGCAAGUUUCACUUAUCAGCAAAAAAAAUACUAAGAAGAGAGAUAUUUUCAGAAAAAUACCUUGUCAAUAUGACUUAGGUGGAGUGAGUUUGAAAAAUGUCUCAGAAUCAGUUAUUAGUGAUAAAAGUCAUGCAAGUAAAAAUUCUCAUGAAGUUAAUCCAUGUGGGAAGUUGCUUCCUGAUAAUAAUCAAGGCAGUACUCCUACUGGAAAGAAAUCUGAUGAACAUAACCAAGAUGGGGAAAAAGACCUUAUUGGACAACAGAAAAUUCAGCCUUUAGGGCCACCUCUUGAAGAUCAUGAAUGCAGAGCAGCUGUCAGUGAGGCAGCCACCAUCACACCUCAGAGGGCCCCAAAAGAGGGAAAAUUCCAGGAUCCUAAGGAAUAGGGGGGAAAUAUCAGCAACCAGUCAGCCCUCAAAGUCUGGCACAAAGCUCCCACAAGGAAGAAUCACUUUGAAGUUCAUGAGUGUGAGAAGUCAACUCUGUUUAAACAUGAGAAAAUUAACAUGGAGGAAAAAACCCAUGAAUCUAAUGAAAAUGGGAAUAAUUUCAGGCUGAAGACCCACCUCGCUCAACUUCAUAAAACUCCCACGGGAAAGAAAACGUUUGAAUGCCAUCAUGGCAAUAAUUCUUUUUACCAGGAAUCACACCUCACUCAACAUGAGAAGACACACACAGAAGAGGAACUAUAUGACAGUAACAAAUGUGGAAAAAACUUCCACAAAUCAUAAGCUACUGACCCUCAAAGAACUCAAACAGGAGAGAAACCCAGUGAAUGUGAUAGUGCCUCUGGGAAGCCAGCCAUUACUGAUCAGCAGAGAACAUAGGAAAACUUGAUGUAUGUAA
rnacentral:lncRNA from 1 species